CGGAUAUAGUUUAUCGGUAAAACAUUGGCUUCCCAAGCCGAAGUGACGGGUUCGACUCCCGCUAUCCG
rnacentral:tRNA from 1 species